rnacentral:lncRNA from 1 species
UCUUCCUCUUUUCUCUUGUGCAUGCAAGGUGCUCGCUGAAUUGCUUGUAAAGCUUCCCCUUUUCGCGAGACGUCAGGACUUGUCCGUCGCUCGUUCUUUCGAACUAAUCAACUUUCUCUUUUACAGGUCCUUCGGGACUUGCGAGAGGUUGCAAGUGGGCUGAUCUUUGCGGAGCAAUAUCACAAGGGCGAAGCGCGACUUAGGCAAUGCAAGCUAAGUUCGCAUCUUUGCCGCAAGGGUGCCUCGCGACUUAGGCAACGCAAGCUAAGUUCGCGUCUUGGCCGCAAGGGUGCCUCACGCCUUAGGCUAUUCCACCUAAGGCCAUGACAUUAUGUAUCAGAGUGGGCAAGCACUUUGAGCGAGCAGUGAAGGAACUUCACAACUUCGCCAUGGCAAAGCAUCAUGGCGAAUCAAGCAAGGUGGGGCAAGCCGGACCCUUGCCCCAAGCAACCGCAGGUGGGCUACAUGUGCACACUCGCUCUCAUGCUGUUGG